rnacentral:tRNA from 1 species
GUUUCUAGGGUGUUCCACUAUAGCACAUUAGAUUUUCAUUCUAAAGGAAUAAAAUUAAUUUAUUAGAAAUA